AUUGGGAUGGAGAACUCUGACCGCGACGCCGCGUGAGGGAGGAAGGCCUUCGGGUUGUAAACCUCUUUCAGUAGGGAAGAAGCGAAAGUGACGGUACCUACAGAAGAAGCACCGGCUAACUAUGUGCCAGCAGCCGCGGUAAUACAUAGGGUGCAAGCGUUGUCCGGAAUUAUUGGGCGUAAAGAGCUCGUAGGUGGUUCGAUACGUCGGAUGUGAAAAUCAGGGGCUCAACCCCUGACCUGCAUCCGAUACGGUCGAGCUAGAGUUUGGUAGGGGAGACUGGAAUUCCUGGUGUAGCGGUGGAAUGCGCAGAUAUCAGGAGGAACACCGAUGGCGAAGGCAGGUCUCUGGGCCAAUACUGACACUGAGGAGCGAAA
rnacentral:rRNA from 1 species